rnacentral:rRNA from 1 species
ACUCUGGUAUUGAUUGGUGCUUGCAUCAUGAUUUACAUUUGAGUGAGUGGCGAACUGGUGAGUAACACGUGGGAAACCUGCCCAGAAGCGGGGGAUAACACCUGGAAACAGAUGCUAAUACCGCAUAACAACUUGGACCGCAUGGUCCGAGCUUGAAAGAUGGCUUCGGCUAUCACUUUUGGAUGGUCCCGCGGCGUAUUAGCUAGAUGGUGGGGUAACGGCUCACCAUGGCAAUGAUACGUAGCCGACCUGAGAGGGUAAUCGGCCACAUUGGGACUGAGACACGGCCCAAACUCCUACGGGAGGCAGCAGUAGGGAAUCUUCCACAAUGGACGAAAGUCUGAUGGAGCAACGCCGCGUGAGUGAAGAAGGGUUUCGGCUCGUAAAACUCUGUUGUUAAAGAAGAACAUAUCUGAGAGUAACUGUUCAGGUAUUGACGGUAUUUAACCAGAAAGCCACGGCUAACUACGUGCCAGCAGCCGCGGUAAUACGUAGGUGGCAAGCGUUGUCCGGAUUUAUUGGGCGUAAAGCGAGCGCAGGCGGUUUUUUAAGUCUGAUGUGAAAGCCUUCGGCUCAACCGAAGAAGUGCAUCGGAAACUGGGAAACUUGAGUGCAGAAGAGGACAGUGGAACUCCAUGUGUAGCGGUGAAAUGCGUAGAUAUAUGGAAGAACACCAGUGGCGAAGGCGGCUGUCUGGUCUGUAACUGACGCUGAGGCUCGAAAGUAUGGGUAGCAAACAGGAUUAGAUACCCUGGUAGUCCAUACCGUAAACGAUGAAUGCUAAGUGUUGGAGGGUUUCCGCCCUUCAGUGCUGCAGCUAACGCAUUAAGCAUUCCGCCUGGGGAGUACGGCCGCAAGGCUGAAACUCAAAGGAAUUGACGGGGGCCCGCACAAGCGGUGGAGCAUGUGGUUUAAUUCGAAGCUACGCGAAGAACCUUACCAGGUCUUGACAUACUAUGCAAAUCUAAGAGAUUAGACGUUCCCUUCGGGGACAUGGAUACAGGUGGUGCAUGGUUGUCGUCAGCUCGUGUCGUGAGAUGUUGGGUUAAGUCCCGCAACGAGCGCAACCCUUAUUAUCAGUUGCCAGCAUUAAGUUGGGCACUCUGGUGAGACUGCCGGUGACAAACCGGAGGAAGGUGGGGAUGACGUCAAAUCAUCAUGCCCCUUAUGACCUGGGCUACACACGUGCUACAAUGGAUGGUACAACGAGUUGCGAACUCGCGAGAGUAAGCUAAUCUCUUAAAGCCAUUCUCAGUUCGGAUUGUAGGCUGCAACUCGCCUACAUGAAGUCGGAAUCGCUAGUAAUCGCGGAUCAGCAUGCCGCGGUGAAUACGUUCCCGGGCCUUGUACACACCGCCCGUCACACCAUGAGAGUUUGUAACACCCAAAGUCGGUGGGGUAACCUUUU